rnacentral:rRNA from 1 species
GAUGAACGCUGGCGGCGUGCCUAAUACAUGCAAGUCGAGCGAACAGACGAGGCGCUUGCUCCUCUGACGUUAGCGGCGGACGGGUGAGUAACACGUGGAUAACCUACCUAUAAGACUGGGAUAACUUCGGGAAACCGGAGCUAAUACCGGAUAAUAUAUUGAACCGCAUGGUUCAAUAGUGAAAGCCGGUUUUGCUGUCACUUAUAGAUGGAUCCGCGCCGCAUUAGCUAGUUGGUAAGGUAACGGCUUACCAAGGCAACGAUGCGUAGCCGACCUGAGAGGGUGAUCGGCCACACUGGAACUGAGACACGGUCCAGACUCCUACGGGAGGCAGCAGUAGGGAAUCUUCCGCAAUGGGCGAAAGCCUGACGGAGCAACGCCGCGUGAGUGAUGAAGGUCUUCGGAUCGUAAAACUCUGUUAUUAGGGAAGAACAAAUGUGUAAGUAACUAUGCACGUCUUGACGGUACCGAAACAGAAAGCCACGGCUAACUACGUG